rnacentral:rRNA from 1 species
UACAGAGGGUGCGAGCGUUGUCCGGAAUCACUGGGCGUAAAGGGCGAGUAGGUGGCCAUCUAAGUCAGACGUGAAAUCCCCCGGCUUAACCUGGGAACUGCGUCUGAUACUGGACGGCUUGAGUAUGGGAGAGGAACGUAGAAUUCCAGGUGUAGCGGUGAAAUGCGUAGAUAUCUGGAGGAAUACCGGUGGCGAAGGCGGCGUUCUGGACCAUUACUGACACUGAAUCGCGAAAGCUAGGGGAGCAAACGGG